CACUUGUGCUCGUCAGCAUCUGUUCCAUGCAUGCCCGCGUAUGCACAUGCAUCUACUGCACACAAGUGGGGGGUGAUGAGUAAUACAUGCAGGAA